rnacentral:rRNA from 1 species
AUGAGGCCCAUAUGCCGCCUUUCUGAUGAUCCAGUUCAGCUAGUAGUUGAUUUGUUGGACGAAUCAGGGCAAUGGAACACACAGCUUGUGCGAGACAUGUUCAUUGCAUCUGAUGCGGAUGCUAUCUUAAGCAUGCCGCGCGCAAGAGUGGGGAUACUCGAUUUUUGGGGCUGGGCGUGGGAAAAAUCCGAAUCUUUUACGGUUCGGUCAGCCUAUCGCAUGGCUAUGGAAAAGAAUUUCAACCUGCAAAAUGAGACAUCAUCUUCAGAGGGGGAUGCAAUCUGCCCAAUGCGUGGAGCAUGUGACGAGUCGAUAUUUCAUGCAUUCAUAAAAUGCGAGCAUGCAUUCAUGUUUUGGGACGAAGCGAGUGACUUUUUCGAGCUGAAGCUUCCUAAGCUGCAACCUGUGACAUGGGCGAGGGACUUGCUUGAUCAUAAUCUCAUUAGGAAGGAGAAUGCUGUUGUGGCCGUGUCGGUAAUAUGGGCGAUUUGGAACAAUAGAAACAAAUACACACACGAUAAAGCCGUCUACCAACUGCGGCAAUCAAUGCAGCUAGUACAGGAACUUGUUAGAGCACUGGAUAUACCUGCAGUGGAAGUAAAACAAAACAAACCUCGGCCUUCUUCAAAGGCACCAGAGGAAGGAUGGCUCAAGAUUAAUUCUGAUGGUGCGAUCGGUGUGGCAGCAAAUUGCGCUGGGACGGGAGUGGUUGUGAGAGACCACUUGGGCACUUUCGUUGUGGCAAAGAUAACCAGGUAUGAUGUUGUUUCGGACCCUUUCAUCAUUGAAGCACUAGCUUGCAGAGAUGGAAUGAGAGUGGCCAUGGAAAAGGGAUUUCAGAAGGUUACUAUGGAGACAGAUUGUCAGGUGGUUGAUGCGGCCUGGGAAGCUGCGAAUGAUAUCUGGUGCUGGUCAUAUCUUUCAGGAGAUGAGACCAUAUCUCUCGAACUUUCAGGGAUUCUGGUCUUUUCUCCUCGUAGUGCAAACUUUGCAACUCAUUUGUGUGCAAAGGAAGCACUGAAUUUGGAGAAUGUUAGCUCAUCUUAUGAUGUAAUCCCUGCCUUUUUGAUUGCCCAAGUGCAGUCAGAAGUUGUACCGCUUACUGAUAAUCAAUAA